GUCUUUUCUGGCAGAUUACUUCUGUGAGCAACUGGGUCUCUCAGUUCUUUGGGAGCACCCUGGGAAACAGUGUGGCUAUGACUUGGAGCUGCUCACCAGUUCCAGUCAUUCUGUGGUUGAGAGCUGCUCCCUAUGGAUGUUAAUUCUUCUCUAUUUUAGAUUUUCCACAGGUGUGGGCCCCAUUAGCUCUGGCCACCUGAGAAAGCCCUCAGGCAAAGAGUCGCAGGUGAAAGCCAGCAGUUAGAGGUUCACAGAAAUGAGUGCAGAAGCAUCUUCAGUUGGAGAGCCAUUGCCUCUUGCUGUGAAAUAUUUGGGAAUCUUCAGAAACCAUGAAGAAUAACCUGCUAAAGGGUUUUAUUUUGUCAGUCAAGCUGGAAUGCAGUGGCGUGAACAUUGCUUACUGCAGCUUCAAUCUCCUGAGGUCAAACAAUCUUCUCACCUCAGCCUCGCAAGCAGCUAGGACUACAGGCAUGUGCCACCACGCCCCACUAAUUUUUUAAUUUUUCUUUUGUGGAGACGCAGUCUUGUUAUCUUGAACAGGCUGGUCUUGAACUCUUGGAGUCAAGCAAUCCUUCUGCCUCAGACUCUCAAAGUGCUGGGAUUACAGGCAUGAGCCACCACAUUCAGCCAGGAAAAGUUUUUGUACAUUUAAAAAAUUAUAGGAUAUUUGUGUAUAUAGCUUUGCUGGUUUGACUUCCUAGAAUAGCUCCCAGGAACACAAAGUACUUAAUUGAUUAGUAUAAAAUGAUUAUGUCAUACUCACAUGUUGGUU
rnacentral:lncRNA from 1 species